GGGGACCAAGAAAUUGAAGAGGAAAAGAUAAGAAAAGCAGUUGAUGGAACAUUAGGCAUUUUACGGGAAUGCCUCAAUUCAAAAACAGUAAAACGAGUUGUUUACACUUCCAGCAGAACAGCGGUUGUGUUUAAUGAUAAAGGUUUAGACACAGUGGACGAGAGCUCGUGGUCUGACAUCCAUGUCAUGAAAACUUUAAAGCCUAUAUCCGCAGCUUCUUAUGUGAUUAGCAAGACUUUAGCCGAAAAGGCUGCUCUUGAGUUUGCUGAGAAGCACGGACUAGAUUUGGUAACCGUUAUUCCUAGUUGGAUACAUGGUCCCUUCUUGAGUCCUCAGUUCCCAGAGCCAUUACGACCAGCCAUGGCAAUGAUGUACGGUAAUCAGG
rnacentral:misc_RNA from 1 species